UGCACUGCAUGGUCUCUGCACUCAGCAUUUUUCUCCUGCUGGGGUAUUCAAAAGAAAGUGCUAUAAAAAUUCAGUAUCUGGCAUUGCUGGUCUUCUUGGCUCUGUGCAUGUUACACCUGGUAUUUCUAUUGGUGCAGCA
rnacentral:snoRNA from 1 species